AGGAGGGCGGCUCUCCUGCCUCCUGCAGGGGCUCGUGUGUGCAGCGAGAGAUAAGGCAGGACGCUAAGGAGAGGAGUUAUCUCCCGACCGCAGGCGCAGGAAACCGACUUUGGUGGAAAUGAUGAGCAUGGCACCUGCGCCACCGCGGCUCAGCGCGAAGACGCACGCACAGCGACGGCACAGAGGGAAGCCACAACAGUGCAGCGGGACAGCGGGGGUUGAAAGGGGGCUCUGACCGCAGCCCGAGGUCUGGGGAUGAAGCCUUGGGGGCUCACUGCAGCUCCGCGGAGGAGAAAUGCAUCACAGGGAGGCGGAAGCACCGGCAUGAUUUUCAGCCCAAGGGACUGGGCCCGGGAUUUAUUUAUGGGGCCGGUGCUGUGGCACAGCAGGUACAGCUGCCACCUGCAACGCUGGCUUCCCAUAUGAGCACGAGUUCCAGCCCCGGCUGCUCCACUUCUGAUCCAGCUCCCUGCUAAUGCACCUGGGAAAGCAGUGGAAGAUGGCCCAAGUGCUUGGGCCCCUGCACCCAUGGGGGAGACCCUGAGGAAGCUCCUGGCUCCUGGUUUUGGAUCAGCCCAGCUUCGGCGGUUGAGACCAUCUGGGGAGUGAGCCAGCAGAUGGAAGACCUCUCUCUGUCUCUCCCCUUCUCUCUUUGCCACUCUGCCUUUCAAAUCAAUAAAUCUAAAUAAAUUAAUAAUCUAAA